ACAUUCAAACACCGAUUCUCGUCCGAUCACCGAAGUUAGACAACGUCGUGCCUGGUCAGUACCUCGAUGGGUAACCACUUGGGAAUACUAGGUGCUGUAAG